UUUACCUGUGUGACUGCGUACCUUUUGUAUAAUGGGUCAGCGACUUAUAUUCUGUAGCAAGGUUAACCGUAUAGGGGAGCCGGAGGGAAACCGAGUCUUAAUUGGGCGUUAAGUUGCAGGGUAUAGACCCGAAACCCGGUGAUCUAGCCAUGGGCAGGUUGAAGGUUGGGUAACACUAACUGGAGGACCGAACCGACUAAUGUUGAAAAAUUAGCGGAUGACCUGUGGCUGGGGGUGAAAGGCCAAUCAAACCGGGAGAUAGCUGGUUCUCCCCGAAAGCUAUUUAGGUAGCGCCUCGUGAAUUCAUCUCCGGGGGUAGAGCACUGUUUCGGCUAGGGGGCCAUCCCGGCUUACCAACCCGAUGCAAACUGCGAAUACCGGAGAAUGUUAUCACGGGAGACACACGGCGGGUGCUAACGUCCGUCGUGAAGAGGGAAACAACCCAGACCGCCAGCUAAGGUCCCAAAGUCAUGGUUAAGUGGGAAACGAUGUGGGAAGGCCCAGACAGCCAGGAUGUUGGCUUAGAAGCAGCCAUCAUUUAAAGAAAGCGUAAUAGCUCACUGGUCGAGUCGGCCUGCGCGGAAGAUGUAACGGGGCUAAACCAUGCACCGAAGCUGCGGCAGCGACACUGUGUGUUGUUGGGUAGGGGAGCGUUCUGUAAGCCUGUGAAGGUGUGUCGUGAGGCAUGCUGGAGGUAUCAGAAGUGCGAAUGCUGACAUAAGUAACGAUAAAGCGGGUGAAAAGCCCGCUCGCCGGAAGACCAAGGGUUCCUGUCCAACGUUAAUCGGGGCAGGGUGAGUCGACCCCUAAGGCGAGGCCGAAAGGCGUAGUCGAUGGGAAACGGGUUAAUAUUCCCGUACUUGGUGUUACUGCGAAGGGGGGACGGAGAAGGCUAUGUUGGCCGGGCGACGGUUGUCCCGGUUUAAGCGUGUAGGUGUGUGUUCCAGGUAAAUCCGGUUCACUUUAACACUGAGGCGUGACGACGAGGCACUACGGUGCUGAAGCAACAAAUGCCCUGCUUCCAGGAAAAGCCUCUAAGCAUCAGGUAACAUCAAAUCGUACCCCAAACCGACACAGGUGGUCAGGUAGAGAAUACCAAGGCGCUUGAGAGAACUCGGGUGAAGGAACUAGGCAAAAUGGUGCCGUAACUUCGGGAGAAGGCACGCUGACACGUAGGUGAAGUGAUUUACUCAUGGAGCUGAAGUCAGUCGAAGAUACCAGCUGGCUGCAACUGUUUAUUAAAAACACAGCACUGUGCAAACACGAAAGUGGACGUAUACGGUGUGACGCCUGCCCGGUGCCGGAAGGUUAAUUGAUGGGGUCAGCGCAAGCGAAGCUCCUGAUCGAAGCCCCGGUAAACGGCGGCCGUAACUAUAACGGUCCUAAGGUAGCGAAAUUCCUUGUCGGGUAAGUUCCGACCUGCACGAAUGGCGUAAUGAUGGCCAGGCUGUCUCCACCCGAGACUCAGUGAAAUUGAACUCGCUGUGAAGAUGCAGUGUACCCGCGGCAAGACGGAAAGACCCCGUGAACCUUUACUAUAGCUUGACACUGAACAUUGAGCCUUGAUGUGUAG
rnacentral:rRNA from 1 species